CCUAUACAGAAUACGCCAAUCUUGUCUGCAAACAAUCGCUAACUAGUUUCUAUUUACGUAGCUUGCAUGUAUGUCUCAUACAUCUCGUAACAUAAUAUCCUAUUUUAUCUACUAUUCCUCAUUUCCCCCUGUUAAUUGAACACCAUAGCUAGAUGCUCAUUAUGCUAAUCAAUUUAUUCAAUUUUGACUUCAUUUUCUUUGCUCCUUCGAGCAAUCCCAAGGAUAGUUGGUAAUGGAGAGUGAUAUACAAAACAAAGAAGACCACUAGUUCGUAACGUUUUAGAAAGAGCUGUGAUUGGCCAAACUAUGUUGGAAAUGGCGUCAUCCGUGCGGCUGUCCUUUAAUUGAUAUCAGUGUUUUUCUUCUUCUAUCUGUUUAAUCUGCCGAUCUAUUUGGUCUGUCUCGGCAAAUGAAAAUGCAUAUUGAACUCAGAUAAUUAUACAAUGCUUUCUGGACGCUGUAACACAAAAAAUAUUGCCACAAAUUACGUUUCUAGCUCUGUUUGUAUUUGAUUUACAAUAAGAAGCAAACAUGGUCAGAAUCAAUCAAUGGAAGAUGACGGCGAAUUGUGACUAUUAAAAAAAAUGAAAGUAUAUCUGAACAUGUUGUGCCAUCGCCUGUGUAGCCGGACCUGCAUGCAAACACGUUGAAAUCCUGGUCCAACUCUCGAGCAGACCGCUUCAGCAAUAUAUGGGACUGCACAGUCCGUCGCU